rnacentral:rRNA from 1 species
UACGUAGGGGGCAAGCGUUGUCCGGAUUUAUUGGGCGUAAAGAGCGUGUAGGCGGUCAGGUAGGUCCGUUGUGAAAACUCGAGGCUCAACCUCGAGACGCCGAUGGAAACCAUCUGACUAGAGUCCGGAAGAGGAGAGUGGAAUUCCUGGUGUAGCGGUGAAAUGCGCAGAUAUCAGGAAGAACACCCGUGGCGAAGGCGGCUCUCUGGGACGGUACUGACGCUGAGACGCGAAAGCGUGGGAGCGAAGCAGG